CUGUGAUACUUGGCACCGGCCUUCUCGAUACUGAACGACAUCACCUUAUAGCAAGAAGGUGCCCCUUGUGUGAUGGACAUGGUUUACUCCAUAUCAUCUGGCAGCAAUUCAAUCUGGUCUUGGCCAAGAAGCCAUCCAUGAAGGUAAACUGAGCAUUAUAAUCAACCAAUACUCGUUGUGACGUAUCGGGAAUUCAUUUCUCGAACUAGCUCUGCUCACGUCUCAGCAGUCCAUACACAUUCUCAUCUUUCAGCACCGGUUUCCGCUUCACUGGAGGACAGUCU
rnacentral:lncRNA from 1 species